CAGGUGGGGCUGUCUCUGUGGCCCUGCUAGGGGUUCACCCUCCUGGGGUUGAUCUAUGGCGCGUUGCCCUUGAACCCGGAUGACCCUAACGUGUGUAGUCACUGGGAGAGUUAUGCUGUGACGGUCCAGGAGUCCUAUGCCCACCCCUUUGACCAGGUCUACUACACAAGAUGCACCGACAUCCUCACCUGGUUCAAAUGUACCAGACACAGGAUCAGCUAUAAGACAGCGUACCGUAGGGGUGUGAGGACUAUGUACAGAAGGCGUUCUCAGUGUUGCCCGGGCUUCUAUGAGAACGGAGACCUGUGUGUCCCUCAGUGUUCAGUAGAAUGUGCCCAUGGUCGGUGUGUGUCUCCUGAUACGUGUCAGUGUGAACCGGGCUGGGGAGGAGUGGACUGCUCUAGCGGU